rnacentral:rRNA from 1 species
GACGUAGGGGGCCAGCGUUGUUCGGAUUUACUGGGCGUAAAGGGCGCGUAGGCGGCCAGCACAAGUCAGUUGUGAAAUCUCCGAGCUUAACUCGGAAAGGUCAACUGAUACUGUGCGACUAGAGUGCGGAAGGGGCAACUGGAAUUCUCGGUGUAGCGGUGAAAUGCGUAGAUAUCGAGAGGAACACCUGCGGCGAAGGCGGGUUGCUGGGCCGACACUGACGCUGAUGCGCGAAAGCCAGGGGAGCGAACGGG